UUGAAAGGGAAACGAUUGAAGUCAGUCGUACCAGCGGGAAAUCAACCUUUCGAGUGGGGGUUUUGGAGUUUUGAAGAGUGUCAAAACCUUUGAGAUUUCAAAAUAUUCGCUCUCUUGGUGUACUUUCUCGUGGGUAGGUUAACAUCGAUUUUGAUCAUCAUAAAAAGAUUGGAGGAAUGUAGCUUCGAUCUUGUAUUGAAGUGUUAUAGCCUUUGGUAAAUGUGAUGAUUAGGAUCGAGGAUUGCAACGAAUACCCUUUUGGGCUAUCCGCCUGAUCUCUGAUACGUGGCCUUGGUAUCGAAAGCGUGCUUAUGGUAUUGAGGUAUUACGGUCAAAAGGUUAGAACGGAUUACAUUCGUUAAGGAUGUUGACGUA
rnacentral:rRNA from 1 species